GACGAACGCUGGCGGCGUGCUUAACACAUGCAAGUCGAACGGUAAGGCCCUUCGGGGUACACGAGUGGCGAACGGGUGAGUAACACGUGGGUGAUCUGCCCUGCACUUCGGGAUAAGCCUGGGAAACUGGUCUAAUACCGGAUAGGACCACUGCCUGCAUGGGUGGUGGUGGAAAGCUUUUGCGGUGUGGGAUGGGCCCGCGGCCUAUCAGCUUGUUGGUGGGGUGAUGGCCUACCAAGGCGACGACGGGUAGCCGGCCUGAGAGGGUGACCGGCCACAAUGGGCGUGGGAUACGGCCCAGACUCCUACGGGAGGCAGCAGUGGGGAAUAUUGAACAAUGGGCGCAAGCCUGAUGCAGCGACGCCGCGUGAGGGAUGACGGCCUUCGGGUUGUAAACCUCUUUCAGCACCGACGAAGCGCAAGUGACGGUAGGUGCAGAAGAAGGACCGGCCAACUACGUGCCAGCCGCCGCCGUAA
rnacentral:rRNA from 1 species